AGAGGUCUCAAGCGUUGUUCGGAUUCAUUGGGCGUAAAGGGUGCGUAGGCGGCGGUGCAAGUCCGAUGUGAAAUACCGGGGCUCAACCCCGGAACUGCAUUGGAUACUGCAUUGCUAGAGUACUGGAGAGGGAACUGGAAUUUACGGUGUAGCAGUGAAAUGCGUAGAGAUCGUAAGGAAGACCAGUGGCGAAGGCGAGUUCCUGGACAGUUACUGACGCUGAGGCACGAAGGCCAGGGGAGCAAACGGGAUUAGAUACCCCGGUAGUCCUGGCAGUAAACGGUGUGCGUUUGGUGUAGGAGGAUUCGACCCCUUCUGUGCCGGAGCUAACGCGUUAAACGCACCGCCUGGGGAGUACGGUCGCAAGAUUA
rnacentral:rRNA from 1 species